AGAGUUUGAUCAUGGCUCAGGAUGAACGCUAGCGGCAGGCUUAAUACAUGCAAGUCGAGGGGCAGCAUGACCGUAGCAAUACGGUUGAUGGCGACCGGCAAACGGGUGCGGAACACGUACACAACCUUCCUUUAAGCGGGGAAUAGCCCGGGGAAACCCGGAUUAAUACUCCAUAGUAUAUUGAAGAGGCAUCUCUUUACUAUUAAAGAUUUAUCACUUGAAGAUGGGUGUGCGGCUGAUUAGCUAGUUGGCGGGGUAAAGGCCCACCAAGGCUACGAUCAGUAACUGGUGUGAGAGCACGACCAGUCACACGGGCACUGAGACACGGGCCCGACUCCUACGGGAGGCAGCAGUAAGGAAUAUUGGUCAAUGGACGAAAGUCUGAACCAGCCAUGCCGCGUGGAGGAUGAAGGUCCUCUGGAUUGUAAACUUCUUUUAUCUGGGACGAAAAAAGGGAAUUCUUUCUCGUCUGACGGUACCAGAUGAAUAAGCACCGGCUAACUCCGUGCCAGCAGCCGCGGUAAUACGGAGGGUGCAAGCGUUAUCCGGAUUCACUGGGUUUAAAGGGUGCGUAGGUGGAUUGGUAAGUCAGUGGUGAAAUCUCCGGGCUUAACCCGGAAACUGCCAUUGAUACUAUCAGUCUUGAAUACCGUGGAGGUCAGUAGAAUAUGUCAUGUAGCGGUGAAAUGCUUAGAUAUGACAUAGAAUACCAAUUGCGAAGGCAGCUGGCUACACGAAUAUUGACACUCAGGCACGAAAGCGUGGGGAUCAAACAGGAUUAGAUACCCUAGUAGUCC
rnacentral:rRNA from 1 species